rnacentral:rRNA from 1 species
UACGUAGGGACCGAGCGUUGUCCGGAUUUAUUGGGCGUAAAGAGCGUGUAGGCGGCUAGAUAGGUCCGUUGUGAAAACUCGAGGCUCAACCUCGAGACGUCGAUGGAAACCAUCUGGCUAGAGUCCGGAAGAGGAGAGUGGAAUUCCUGGUGUAGCGGUGAAAUGCGCAGAUAUCAGGAAGAACACCCGUGGCGAAGGCGGCUCUCUGGUACGUGACUGACGCUGAGACGCGAAAGCGUGGGGAGCAAACAGG